GGUUAAGCGACUAAGCGUACACGGUGGAUGCCCUGGCAGUCAGAGGCGAUGAAGGACGUGCUAAUCUGCGAUAAGCGUCGGUAAGGUGAUAUGAACCGUUAUAACCGGCGAUUUCCGAAUGGGGAAACCCAGUGUGUUUCGACACACUAUCAUUAACUGAAUCCAUAGGUUAAUGAGGCGAACCGGGGGAACUGAAACAUCUAAGUACCCCGAGGAAAAGAAAUCAACCGAGAUUCCCCCAGUAGCGGCGAGCGAACGGGGAGCAGCCCAGAGCCUGAAUCAGUGUGUGUGUUAGUGGAAGUGUCUGGAAAGGCGCGCGAUACAGGGUGACAGCCCCGUACACAAAAAUGCACAUGCUGUGAGCUCGAUGAGUAGGGCGGGACACGUGGUAUCCUGUCUGAAUAUGGGGGGACCAUCCUCCAAGGCUAAAUACUCCUGACUGACCGAUAGUGAACCAGUACCGUGAGGGAAAGGCGAAAAGAACCCCGGCGAGGGGAGUGAAAAAGAACCUGAAACCGUGUACGUACAAGCAGUGGGAGCCCUGAUUUAUCAGGGUGACUGCGUACCUUUUGUAUAAUGGGUCAGCGACUUAUAUUCUGUAGCAAGGUUAACCGAAUAGGGGAGCCGGAGGGAAACCGAGUCUUAACUGGGCGUUAAGUUGCAGGGUAUAGACCCGAAACCCGGUGAUCUAGCCAUGGGCAGGUUGAAGGUUGGGUAACACUAACUGGAGGACCGAACCGACUAAUGUUGAAAAAUUAGCGGAUGACUUGUGGCUGGGGGUGAAAGGCCAAUCAAACCGGGAGAUAGCUGGUUCUCCCCGAAAGCUAUUUAGGUAGCGCCUCGUGAAUUCAUCUCCGGGGGUAGAGCACUGUUUCGGCAAGGGGGUCAUCCCGACUUACCAACCCGAUGCAAACUGCGAAUACCGGAGAAUGUUAUCACGGGAGACACACGGCGGGUGCUAACGUCCGUCGUGAAGAGGGAAACAACCCAGACCGCCAGCUAAGGUCCCAAAGUCAUGGUUAAGUGGGAAACGAUGUGGGAAGGCCCAGACAGCCAGGAUGUUGGCUUAGAAGCAGCCAUCAUUUAAAGAAAGCGUAAUAGCUCACUGGUCGAGUCGGCCUGCGCGGAAGAUGUAACGGGGCUAAACCAUGCACCGAAGCUGCGGCAGCGACACUGUGUGUUGUUGGGUAGGGGAGCGUUCUGUAAGCCUGUGAAGGUGUGCUGUGAGGCAUGCUGGAGGUAUCAGAAGUGCGAAUGCUGACAUAAGUAACGAUAAAGCGGGUGAAAAGCCCGCUCGCCGGAAGACCAAGGGUUCCUGUCCAACGUUAAUCGGGGCAGGGUGAGUCGACCCCUAAGGCGAGGCCGAAAGGCGUAGUCGAUGGGAAACAGGUUAAUAUUCCUGUACUUGGUGUUACUGCGAAGGGGGGACGGAGAAGGCUAUGUUGGCCGGGCGACGGUUGUCCCGGUUUAAGCGUGUAGGCUGGUUUUCCAGGCAAAUCCGGAGAAUCAAGGCUGAGGCGUGAUGACGAGGCACUACGGUGCUGAAGCAACAAAUGCCCUGCUUCCAGGAAAAGCCUCUAAGCAUCAGGUAACAUCAAAUCGUACCCCAAACCGACACAGGUGGUCAGGUAGAGAAUACCAAGGCGCUUGAGAGAACUCGGGUGAAGGAACUAGGCAAAAUGGUGCCGUAACUUCGGGAGAAGGCACGCUGAUAUGUAGGUGAAGCGACUUGCUCGUGGAGCUGAAAUCAGUCGAAGAUACCAGCUGGCUGCAACUGUUUAUUAAAAACACAGCACUGUGCAAACACGAAAGUGGACGUAUACGGUGUGACGCCUGCCCGGUGCCGGAAGGUUAAUUGAUGGGGUCAGCGCAAGCGAAGCUCUUGAUCGAAGCCCCGGUAAACGGCGGCCGUAACUAUAACGGUCCUAAGGUAGCGAAAUUCCUUGUCGGGUAAGUUCCGACCUGCACGAAUGGCGUAAUGAUGGCCAGGCUGUCUCCACCCGAGACUCAGUGAAAUUGAACUCGCUGUGAAGAUGCAGUGUACCCGCGGCAAGACGGAAAGACCCCGUGAACCUUUACUAUAGCUUGACACUGAACAUUGAGCCUUGAUGUGUAGGAUAGGUGGGAGGCUUUGAAGUGUGGACGCCAGUCUGCAUGGAGCCGACCUUGAAAUACCACCCUUUAAUGUUUGAUGUUCUAACGUGGACCCGUGAUCCGGGUUGCGGACAGUGUCUGGUGGGUAGUUUGACUGGGGCGGUCUCCUCCUAAAGAGUAACGGAGGAGCACGAAGGUUGGCUAAUCCUGGUCGGACAUCAGGAGGUUAGUGCAAUGGCAUAAGCCAGCUUGACUGCGAGCGUGACGGCGCGAGCAGGUGCGAAAGCAGGUCAUAGUGAUCCGGUGGUUCUGAAUGGAAGGGCCAUCGCUCAACGGAUAAAAGGUACUCCGGGGAUAACAGGCUGAUACCGCCCAAGAGUUCAUAUCGACGGCGGUGUUUGGCACCUCGAUGUCGGCUCAUCACAUCCUGGGGCUGAAGUAGGUCCCAAGGGUAUGGCUGUUCGCCAUUUAAAGUGGUACGCGAGCUGGGUUUAGAACGUCGUGAGACAGUUCGGUCCCUAUCUGCCGUGGGCGCUGGAGAACUGAGGGGGGCUGCUCCUAGUACGAGAGGACCGGAGUGGACGCAUCACUGGUGUUCGGGUUGUCAUGCCAAUGGCACUGCCCGGUAGCUAAAUGCGGAAGAGAUAAGUGCUGAAAGCAUCUAAGCACGAAACUUGCCCCGAGAUGAGUUCUCCCUGAGACCUAGAGUCUCCUGAAGGAACGUUGAAGACGACGACGUUGAUAGGCCGGGUGUGUAAGCGCAGCGAUGCGUUGAGCUAACCGGUACUAAUGAACCGUGAGGCUUAACCUU
rnacentral:rRNA from 1 species